UACGAAGGGGCUAGCGUUGCUCGGAAUGACUGGGCGUAAAGGGCGCGUAGGCGGUUUGUACAGUCAGAUGUGAAAUUCCUGGGCUCAACCUGGGGCUGCAUUUGAUACGUAUGGACUGGAGUGAGGAAGAGGGUCGUGGAAUUCCCAGUGUAGAGGUGAAAUUCGUAGAUAUUGGGAAGAACACCGGUGGCGAAGGCGGCGACCUGGUCCUUGACUGACGCUGAGGCGCGAAAGCGUG
rnacentral:rRNA from 1 species